rnacentral:rRNA from 1 species
UACGUAGGGCGCAAGCGUUAUCCGGAAUUAUUGGGCGUAAAGAGCUCGUAGGCGGUUUGUCGCGUCUGCCGUGAAAGUCCGGGGCUCAACUCCGGAUCUGCGGUGGGUACGGGCAGACUAGAGUGAUGUAGGGGAGACUGGAAUUCCUGGUGUAGCGGUGAAAUGCGCAGAUAUCAGGAGGAACACCGAUGGCGAAGGCAGGUCUCUGGGCAUUAACUGACGCUGAGGCGCGAAAGCGUGGGGAGCGAACAGG